CCUCAAAUCAGGUAGGACUACCGGCUGAACUUAAGCAUAUCAAUAAGCGGAGGAAAAGAAACUAACAAGGAUUCCCCUAGUAGCGGCGAGCGAAGCGGGAAGAGCUCAAAUUUGAAAGCUGGCGUCCUUCGGGCGUCCGCAUUGUAAUCUAUAGAGGCGUUUUCUGUGCCGGACCGUGUCCAAGUCCCUUGGAACAGGGUACCAAAGAGGGUGACAAUCCCGUACUUGACACGACAACCAGUGCUCUGUGAUACGUCUUCUACGAGUCGAGUUGUUUGGGAAUGCAGCUCAAAAUGGGUGGUGAAUUCCAUCUAAAGCUAAAUAUUGGCGAGAGACCGAUAGCGAACAAGUACCGUGAGGGAAAGAUGAGAAGCACUUUGGAAAGAGAGUUAAACAGUAUGUGAAAUUGUUGAAAGGGAAACGAUGGAGGUCAGUCGUGUCUGUGGGAUUCAGCCGUCUCUGGCGGUGUACUUCCCACAGACGGGUCAACAUCAGUUUUGGUCGGCGGAUAAAGGCAGGAGGAAGGUGGCACCCCCGGGUGUGUUAUAGCCUCUUGUUGCAUACGCUGGCCGAGACUGAGGAAUGCAGCUCGCCUUUAUGGCCGGGGUUCGCCCACGUUCG
rnacentral:rRNA from 1 species